AUUGAACGCUGGCGGCAUGCUUUACACAUGCAAGUCGAACGGUAACAGGGUGCUUGCACCGUUGACGAGUGGCGAACGGGUGAGUAAUGCGUCGGAACGUGCCGAGUAGUGGGGGAUAACGCAGCGAAAGUUGUGCUAAUACCGCAUACGUACUGAGGUAGAAAGUGGGGGACCUUCGGGCCUUACGCUAUUCGAGCGGCCGACGUCUGAUUAGCUAGUAGGUGAGGUAAAGGCUCACCUAGGCGACGAUCAGUAGCGGGUCUGAGAGGAUGAUCCGCCACACUGGGACUGAGACACGGCCCAGACUCCUACGGGAGGCAGCAGUGGGGAAUUUUGGACAAUGGGCGAAAGCCUGAUCCAGCCAUGCCGCGUGUCUGAAGAAGGCCUUCGGGUUGUAAAGGACUUUUGUCAGGGGGGAAAUCCCUAGUGCUAAUAACACUGGGGGAUGACAGUACCUGAAGAAUAAGCACCGGCUAACUACGUGCCAGCCGCCGCAGUAA
rnacentral:rRNA from 1 species